rnacentral:rRNA from 1 species
GUAAGAGCUCGUAGGCGGUUUGUCGCGUCUGCUGUGAAAGCCCGGGGCUCAACCCCGGGUCUGCAGUGGGUACGGGCAGACUAGAGUGCAGUAGGGGAGACUGGAAUUCCUGGUGUAGCGGUGAAAUGCGCAGAUAUCAGGAGGAACACCGAUGGCGAAGGCAGGUCUCUGGGCUGUUACUGACGCUGAGGAGCGAAAGCAUGGGGAGCGAACAGGAUUAGAUACCCUGGUAGUCCAUGCCGUAAACGUUGGGCACUAGGUGUGGGGGACAUUCCACGUUCUCCGCGCCGUAGCUAACGCAUUAAGUGCCCCGCCUGGGGAGUACGGCCGCAAGGCUAAAACUCAAAGGAAUUGACGGGGGCCCGCACAAGCGGCGGAGCAUGCGGAUUAAUUCGAUGCAACGCGAAGAACCUUACCAAGGCUUGACAUUCACCGGACCGCCCCAGAGAUGGGGUCUCCCUUCGGGGUCGGUGGACAGGUGGUGCAUGGUUGUCGUCAGCUCGUGUCGUGAGAUGUUGGGUUAAGUCCCGCAACGAGCGCAACCCUCGUUCUAUGUUGCCAGCACGUGAUGGUGGGGACUCAUAGGAGACUGCCGGGGUCAACUCGGAGGAAGGUGGGGAUGACGUCAAAUCAUCAUGCCCCUUAUGUCUUGGGCUUCACGCAUGCUACAAUGGCCGGUACAAAGGGUUGCGAUACUGUGAGGUGGAGCUAAUCCCAAAAAGCCGGUCUCAGUUCGGAUUGAGGUCUGCAACUCGACCUCAUGAAGUCGGAGUCGCUAGUAAUCGCAGAUCAGCAACGCUGCGGUGAAUACGUUCCCGGGCCUUGUACACACCGCCCGUCAAGUCACGAAAGUUGGUAACACCCGAAGCCGGUGGCCUAACCCCUUUGUGGGAGGGAGCCGUCGAAGGUGGGACUGGCGAUUG